UCAGGAUGAACGCUAGCGGCAGGCUAACACAUGCAAGUCGAGGGGCGAGCGCUGAGUAGCAAUACUCUGGCGGCGACCGGCGAAAGGGUGAGUAACGCGUGAGCAACAUGCCCGGUAGUGGAGGAUAGUCGAUGGAAACGUCGCGUAAUACUCCGUAACAUACGGGACCGCAUGAUUCUGUAUUAAUAGAUUUAUUGCUAUCGGAUUGGCUCGCGUACCAUUAGCUAGUUGGCGGGGUAACGGCCCACCAAGGCGACGAUGGUUAGGGGUUCUGAGAGGAAGGUCCCCCACAUUGGAACUGAGACACGGUCCAGACUCCUACGGGAGGCAGCAGUGAGGAAUAUUGGACAAUGGCCGGAAGGCUGAUCCGGCCAUGCCGCGUGCGGGAAGACGGCCCUAUGGGUUGUAAACCGCUUUUGUUGGGGAGCAAUAAGGGUCACGUGUGGCCUGAUGAGAGUACCCAGCGAAUAAGCAUCGGCUAACUCCGUGCCAGCCGCGGC
rnacentral:rRNA from 1 species